rnacentral:rRNA from 1 species
AUUGAACGCUGGCGGAAUGCUUUACACAUGCAAGUCGAACGGCAGCACGGGGGCAACCCUGGUGGCGAGUGGCGAACGGGUGAGUAAUACAUCGGAACGUGCCCUGUCGUGGGGGAUAGCGUAGCGAAAGUUACGCUAAUACCGCAUACGAUCUGAGGAUGAAAGCGGGGGACCUUCGGGCCUCGCGCGAUCGGAUCGCCCGAUGUCAGAUUAGGUAGUUGGUGGGGUAAAGGCCUACCAAGCCGACGAUCUGUAGCUGGUCUGAGAGGACGACCAGCCACACUGGGACUGAGACACGGCCCAGACUCCUACGGGAGGCAGCAGUGGGGAAUUUUGGACAAUGGGCGAAAGCCUGAUCCAGCCAUUCCGCGUGCAGGACGAAGGCCUUCGGGUUGUAAACUGCUUUUGUAUGGAACGAAAAGGCUCGGGCUAAUACCUGGGGCUCAUGACGGUACCGUAAGAAUAAGCACCGGCUAACUACGUG